rnacentral:rRNA from 1 species
UACGUAGGGUGCAAGCGUUGUCCGGAAUUAUUGGGCGUAAAGAGCUCGUAGGCGGUUUGUCGCGUCAGCUGUGAAAACUCGAGGCUCAACCUCGAGACGUCGGUUGAAACCAUCUGGCUAGAGUCCGGAAGAGGAGUGUGGAAUUCCCGGUGUAGCGGUGAAAUGCGCAGAUAUCGGGAAGAACACCAGUGGCGAAGGCGGCGAUCUGGGUUGAUACUGACGCUGAGGUGCGAAAGCGUGGGGAGCAAACAGG